rnacentral:siRNA from 1 species
UGGCAUCUACCCGUAGGCCCCG